GUAUACGGGUCAUUCCACGGGGUUGGGGCAACAGCACUUUUUUGUGUUCCUUAUGAAUUGUUAGCUUUAUCCUGAAAAUGUGUUUGGUGUUUUGAUGUUGCAAUGUGGUUUUGUUGGAAGGCAGUUAUGUAAGCAAUUACUUGAUGCAGAAAUAAAAAUGUUGAACUGCAAGUAUUAUUGAUGGUGAGACUUUAAAUGAUGAUGUCCAGACUCUAUUUUGGGGUACCAAGUGUGACAUCCAAAAUGGUCAUUUUCAGUUGAAGAUAUCUAAUCAAAAGAUAGACUUAGUCAAAUUCAAAUGGCCAUGAUUGAUAAAGCAACAUUUGUUUAAUAACAAAACAGUAAUGGGAUAGCAAAUGAAAAGAGACUUCAUAUCAUAAAUCAUUCCUACAAAUCGGCAUACCACCGUUACAUGCGAUGUCCGCGUUUAUUUUUUCUGUAACGGCGGUAAUGUGGUUAAUAUCUAAAAAUCAGAAAUCAUUUUUUCCAAAAUUAUGUGUCAGAAAUAAAGGGCAGGCAGUAAGCAACUGUUAAUCAAAAGAUUAGCUUUGAAAACCUAUGGUAAUGUCAUCUAAAUUAAUCGAGAGUCGCCGAUGUUUUGGGCGAUGUCCGGGCCAAAUUUGUAACGGUGGAUCACAUUUCAUCGCGUAUGUAAGAAGGAGACACCGGAGAAGAGACCGUCGUUGUAUCAGACGGACGGGUUGUUAGCCGAAAUCCACAUGCACAUGAACAGCUAUGAUAGCGGGCGUUUUGAAGCAUUGCAAUUGGGAAUAUUCCUGCAAUGUCUUUGUAACGGUGGAUUGGAUAUCCACGAUGUUUUCCCUUUCAAAGCGACGCCAAUGGAUACUCAGAAACAGCUCUUUCACUGAUGAUCAUGACGGUGACAUCUCAAAUUUGGUACAAAAUUUCUCCUUGUUUAAAUUGGCUCCUACUGAUUCUAGGUAAUAUGGGUAUCAAAGACCUGAUGAUCAAAUUUGAAUUUGCAAAAAAAAUGAGAAUUUAGAACCAGUGGCGGCGCCACGGGGGAGGCAGACCCCCCCC